CUGACGAGAAGACAAAGACAAACCGCCGCGACCCGCCGCCAGACGGGCUGCUCAGUUCGCUGGGCCGGCGGCGGGCGGACGGGUCAACGGACGGACGGACGGACGGGGGAUGCAGCCAGGCAGUCUUCAUGGGGGAAAAGAGGAUGUGGCGCGAUGCCAACGCCGCUACAUUCCUCAAUGAUGCAUGGAGAGAGGGAGAGGAAAGAAAGAACAGGAACGCAAGAUCAGAGGUGAAGAUGGAGAGGAAGAAUGAAGAGGGCCAACAGGAAACAGGAAGUGACUUAAAAACAAACAUGGCUGACAGGCGGCGGCGCUGCUCCAGGGAGAAACUUCGAGAUUUGCUUGUUGGAUUUCGUCAAGGUACUGGCGAGGUUCUGUGGAGCAGUUAGGAGCCGUCAGUAUCCAACCUGCAGUCAGACGGCUCUCUGAUUGGAGAAUCACAAACUCACCUGUCAGCCUGAACAGGUGAGAAAGAAAGAAAUCAAUAAUCAAUGCUGCAAACGCAACUUCAGUGAACUUCACUUCUGGCUCUGGAAGUUCAGGUUUCAUGUUUAUGUCACCUGGAGAGAUUUAACACCUGGAGAGACCUGAGAACCACCACACACACACACACACACACACACACACACACACACACACACACACACACACACAGAAACACACACAC